UUGUUUUGAUUUUUAAUCAUGAUUUAGACAUAAGACACGAUUCAUAAGGGUUUGAGUUGGGCUGUCGGCGGGCGCGGGCCAGGGGCCGCCUCGCGGCGGUCCCCCGGCGGUCGUUAGACGGGCCCACCGAAGCAACAAUGGUUCAAUAAACAAAGGGUUGGGAGGUCGGGCCUGAAAGACCCUAACUCGUUAAUGAUCCUUCCGCAGGUUCACCUACGGAAA
rnacentral:misc_RNA from 1 species